rnacentral:misc_RNA from 1 species
AAGUUAGGCAAUUGAGAAAUGUGAGUUUUCCUUCUUAAUUUUUUUAAAUUGAAUUAUGGCUCGUAUAGUGAAGCAAAAGCAAUCACCGAACAGGGAAUACGUUGCAAUUUUUAGUAAGAUUUCUUGCUAAUCAUAAUAGUAGUUGGAUUUUGUCUUUAUGUUUAAGAUAGCAGUGGAUUAAGUUUGAUAUUUUGUUAAUCGGUUUCUAUUAGAGCUAGGGCGAAGUAGUGUUUGACAUUAAAUGGCUAUAAAUUUGCCACUGAAGGACCUCAAAUCUCAGGGAAUGCUAGUUUGAUUUUAUCUCAGGCAGUGUCCGGGGAAAAGGAAGGAUGUGAAUGUGAUUAAACUUUUGGCUGCUAAUUGUUUGUGUCAUAAUCUUACAGUAAUGUUGUCACGCGUUGCCAAUUUUCUUUUGCGUUUUUUCAUGAUUAAGAUUUUGAUGAUUUUAUGGUAGGAAGUUGGAGGAGAAUUGAACUGAUUAAAAAAAGGGCACUCUUAGAUAAGGAGUUUCUUUCUUUCUUUCUUUCUUU